UACGAAGGGUGCAAGCGUUACUCGGAAUUACUGGCGUAAAGCGUGCGUAGGCGGUUUGUUAAGUCCGCUGUGAAAGCCCUGGGCUCAACCUGGGAAUUGCAGUGGAUACUGGCAAGCUAGAGUGCGGUAGAGGAUGGUGGAAUUCCCGGUGUAGCGGUGAAAUGCGUAGAUAUCAGGAGGAACACCUGUGGUGUAGACAGCUUACUGGACCACUUCUGACGCUGAGACACGAAAGCGUGGGUAGCAAACAGG
rnacentral:rRNA from 1 species